ACGCUCGACACCUACGGGAGGCAGCAGUGGGGAAUAUUGCACAAUGGGGGAAACCCUGAUGCAGCGACGCCGCGUGAGCGAAGAAGUAUUUCGGUAUGUAAAGCUCUAUCAGCAGGGAAGAAACUGACGGUACCUGACUAAGAAGCACCGGCUAAAUACGUGCCAGUAGCCGCGGUAAUCUGAGCGGCUGGCAAGGC
rnacentral:rRNA from 1 species